UUAUUUUCCCCUCAAAUUGUAUGUUCUUCCUGAUCUCCAAUUGAAUAGCACACUACAGUAGAUGCUAGCAGAUAUCUAUGUAUUGCAUGGUAUUUGUCUCUUCUUCUGAUUAAUAGAUUGGUAUUGAUACUGCGCCAAAAAAAAUGUCUAUUCCUGAAUUUUCAUGAGUGUAAGUGUGCAACCUGGUACUUGUAUGUAGUUGACAGUUUAGAUUGGUAUUGCAACCAAUUUUUGUUGGUAUUGCAUACAACCUCCACAUGCAACUGUCAUCAAUACACUCUGCUACAAGUUUAGAUUGACUGCUUGUGCUAUACUUCACUUCCAGGUUCAUGUUUAUGUGAAAUUCACCAAUCACAAUUUUUAGGUGCUCUUUUGAAUCAAAAAUUUGCUGCUCUGACAAUAGGCUUUGAAAGUGCUUCUUGCAUCCAAAAAAACUUUCAUUUGCUGUCAUCUCUGUUAGUAUAGAUAUGUCACCAAAGGCUCUCACACCAUUCUGUCCACAUGUACGCAUGAAUGGAAAUGCAUUAACAUGAUGCAUAACUCUUGGUUCUGGAUCUUCGUCUGAACUCUGGGUAGGUGCGGCACCAGAAUCAUGCUCAUCGUCAUCAUCAUGUCCCAUAGAAUCCUCCUCUGGCUCUGUAUCCUCCUGAUCAUAUGGGUCAUUGGCAGUACUUGUUGGAAAAUCAUUUGUCACAGUACCAUGAGUAUAAGAUGGAGCAUGUGCCAUGUCAAAGUCAGGACCACGUGAACUAGAAUUUGGAAAACCACUGAUAGAUGUUUGAUGCAAUGACGAGUGCACUGCACUUGCAUACCUUUGUGAUUGACUUUCAAUUAUUGGUAUGUUGCUUCCACCGCUGACUUGGAUCAACAUGUUUUGAUUUGGCGUGAUGUUAACAUAUAACUCUAUCACUUGCCACGUUGUCCGGAACUUGGUCUUCUCAAAAAUCAUGUUCCAUCCUCUUUCCUCAUAUAUUGGAAUUAACUGAAAAUAAUGUGGUCCAGGAGCUCCAAUAUCAAAGCGAGCUUGGAUAUUCAGGUUUGUUUGAGCACUGACAUUAACAUGUCCAAGUCCUCGACAUGUCUCACUCUUGAUAUCUUCAAAAGUAGUAUUCUCGGACACUGGAAAUGUUAAUUUGGGAGGAAUGGUAUAAUCCACACCCAUAGAUCCAUGUUGCACUUCACCAUCCACGUAAACCAGAACGAUUAACAUGUUCUUAUAUGCACCUACAAACAUGAACAUGCAACAAGUAAAUAUCAAAAUUUCAAAUUGAUCUACCAUAGACUCAUGACUGAAAUUUUGGUUUCUCACAAACCAGCCAAUUAAGGACCAUAAUUCAGGAAUAACAAUCCAAUCAUAUAUAGUGUCUACUUGUAAACCAUUGUAUCAAUUGCAUAGAAGAUUAAGACAAAGGAGAUUCGAUAGAACAGUACAACAACUAACAUGAACCAAGCACAAAAUCAAUUGGAGAAUCCUAAUGGCGAGCGACUGAUGAGACCAUGUAGCUCUUGUGAUGAUCGGCGUUGCCGACUGCCAGAGAUUGCUUACCGUAUGGUGAGGUCUAGGAGCGAAGACUGCAUCCGUACUCCUGUGAUGAUCGGCGUUGCUGGCUGCCAGAGAUUGCUUACCGUAUGGCGAGAUCCAGGAGCGAAGACUGCAUUCGUCCUACGGUUUUAAACCUCACGUAACUUCUGUCUGUCAUUAGGAAAGACUCGGUUUAGUCGGAUCUCGUGGCUAGGCGAAGCACUUGACUGGACACAGUUACUAAUAGCGUCCAAACUUGGACGCUGUCCUCGAUAGCAUCCAGGUCUGGACGCCAUUGUAGUUAGCGUCCUUCCUAUUUUUAAAAUUUCCAUCUGCCUGUCACUAGUUUCCAAAUUACUGGGUUAUUAAUUACUACUAAUAAACAAUCCGGCCACUCAAGCUCAUGUCCGACAAUCUCCUACCUUCUCCAACAUGGCGGAUAGCCGAUCCGAGUCCUAUACCUCUAGAUCCAUUGAUCCGCUGCUCUCGGGAGGAGGAGAUGACUGUCCGCCUUGCGCUCUGCAGCUCCCGAAAGGAGGCCGCCCGACGGCAACGCUCUUACUCCUUCCGUCGGGAAUGCAUUGCGUCCGCCCAAAUGGCGCAUGGAUCCGGUGCGAUUGUGUCACCGGAGGCAGUGCGGUCUGUUUUGCGUCGGAACGGUUUGGUGGAUGCGCAACCGCUUCGUUGGUGCGCAGAAGUGGAAGUGAAUGGAUGGGUGUCGUCCGACGCAAGUAUGGUGCGGCGUGCCCGCCGUGCGAGGCGGUGGGCACGGGAGGCAAUGGCAGCUCUCACGGCGGUGUACGUUGGCGAGGCGGAGUUGCAUUCUCCAGUGCCCCGUAUGGUGCACGGCCAGCCCGGGCACUACUAUCCCGUCGUGGUGGACGUCACCGGCUCCGGACUCUGACAAGAAAGAGUAGGGUAUGGGAGACGGCAGUGCAUCGAGUCCCAUGAGCCGGUAUUUGUUCCAUCGUCACCGGCUCCGUUUAGAUUAGGUUUCACGUUACAUGUAAUAGUAUGGAUUUGAGAUUUCUUAAUAGUAUCCGGUUGUGUAAGAGAUCAUUUGACACAUGACCAGUCACUAUCCGCGAACACGUCGGUGUUUGAGGUGUCGGAUUUGUUGUAUCUGGUUGUAGAUGCUCUGAAUGGAUGCAUGCUGGAGUAGUUGGGUCUUGAUGGUCGUGGCAAUCGCAAUCUUGAGAAUUUUGUCCAUUCUCUUUUAGUCUUUUGGCCCAUGCCUGGCUUCCACUCCUUUUCUGCACAAUGACAAUGGGAUGCACACGACUGGCACUCGGAUACCAGCCACAACUCGCGUACGCGUGGUCGGGAAGACGAGCCAAGUCAAGUGCAGCGUCAGCUACGCGUGUGGCUGGCCAGCACACACGCACACACGCACACACGCGCACGCGCGCGCGCGCGCACACACACACACACACACCACGCAUAGAUAACUUCCAUCCUCUCCUUGCGGCCCUGCAGUUUGUGUACGCGUUUUGGUGGAGGAUUACCACAGACCGGCCGGAUCCCUCCACCCCACUCUCCUCGCGCUAAUCCUCGUCUAUCCGUGGGUGUCCGAGCUUCACCCCUACUCCUCGAUCGCCGGGCGACGUGCCGGGGUUACGACGCGGGCAGCCAUCGUCUCUUCCGCUGCAGAUCGAAUCCCGCCAGGUACGGCGGCUUCGACGCAGAAUUAUUGACAGAUCAAGCUCGAUCUCUGCAAGCAGGGAGGACGCGGUUCCGGUGAGCGCGGCGACGGGUCCGGCUGCAACCCCACUGCUAACCGAGUUGCAACUAGUGAAGAAAUUAUAGAUCCCGCUAGGCCAGUAUAUUUCCAGAAGAUUCUAUUAUUGAGAAGAAAACACUAAUAUCAAGAUGGAUUGCUGAAGGAUUCAUUCACAAAGAAGGUAUAUAUACUGCAUAUGAGGUAGGAGUGAGGUUUUUUAAUGAGCUCAUCAAUAGGAGUUUGAUCCAACCUGUGAAGAAAGGCGGUUAUAUGGGGAAGAGUUGUCGAGUUCACGAUAUAAUUCUUGAUUUCAUAGUAUCCAAGUCCAUUGAAGAGAACUUUGUUACUUUUGUUGGUGUCCCCAGUUUAACUACCAUGACACAAGGCAAAGUCCGCCGUAUCUCCAUGCAAGUUGAAGGGAAAGGGGAUUCUAUUUUGCCAAUGAGCCUGAUAUUGUCUCAUGUCCGAUCAUUUAAUGUCUUUGUGAAUACGGUGAAUAUCCAUUCGAUGAUGGACUUCAAACAUUUGCGUGUCGUGGACUUUGGACGAAACAGUCUUUUGGAAAACUACCAUCUUGCAAAUGUAGGGAGGCUGAUUCACCUAAGGUACCUCAGCAUUUACAGGACAGCAGUAAGCGAGCUCCCGGAACAAAUCGGACACCUACAAUGCUUAGAGAUGUUGGACAUGAGGUAUACAAAGAUGUCCGAGUUGCCAGCAAGUAUUGCCAAUCUCGGCAAACUGGCACACUUACUUCUUGACUCACAUACUAACACAGUUGUUAAGUUUCCAGAUGGAAUAGCUAAGAUGCAAGCAAGGAAGUCAUAUAACUUUCUGCAAGGGCUUGGUGACUUUGGAUCAUGUUGACGCCUGCAAGCAGUCAUAUAACUUUCUGCAAGGGCUUGGUGAGCUAAAGAAUCUAAGGAAGCUGUGCAUUAAUUAUCGGGGUGUUGCCCAUGAAGACAAGGAAGUUAUUGCUUCUUCUCUCGGAAAACUAUGCACACAAAACCUUUGUUCUCUAACUAUGUGGGGGAAUGAUGAUGACGACUUCUUGUUGAAUACAUGGUGCACUUCUCCGCCGCUUAACCUCCGAAAACUUGUCAUAUCGUGUUGUAUAUUCCCAAAGGUUCCGCAUUGGGUAGGAUCACUCGUCAACCUACAGAAGUUACGCUUGGAUAUGGGGAGAGGAAUCUGGCAUGAAGAUAUCUGUAUUCUUGGAGCCUUACCCGCUCUGCUCACUCUAAGUCUAGGAGGAAGGGAAAAACAGCCUUCUUGUGAAGAUGGAAGGUUGGCAGUUAGUGGUGAAGCUGGGUUCCGAUGCCUGAGGAAAUUUAAAUACUGGAGGCGGGGAGAUUGGAUGGAUCUUAUGUUUACGGCAAAAUGUAUGCCCAAGCUAGAAAAACUGAAGAUUAUGUUUUACCGCCAUGCUGAAGAUGAGGCUCCCAUCUGUCCUGCUUUUGAUUUCGGGAUCGAAAACCUCUCCAGCCUCACUACUUUAAAAUGUAGCCUAGGUUAUAGUCCUAUGGCAACGAAAAUUAUUGACGCUGUAAAGGCUUCUCUGGACAGAGUAGUCAGCGCACAUCCCAACCACCUUACUCUAAUCUUCCGUUAUCAGCUGUCUAAAGAUCUUCAGUCAUCCUCCGAAUCUACUUGAGUAGAGUCAAGACCAUGCGUUUGUCGGACACACGGUAUAUACCAUCAUUGCUACAUGCGGUCUCAGGACUAAUCACCGCACUACUGACGAGUGCGCUCAGGUUCUUCUCAAGCCCUGCAGUGCUUCAUGAAGAUGAUUAUUUCUGUCCUCCGUGUUCUGGCUGAUGUGUUUGGAUGCUCUCUUUCACUGAAGAUGAAGAUGAUGCUGAUGGUGUUAGGCAUCGAAAUUGCUGAAACCUGAAGAUGAUGCUGUGGUCAUGUGCAGGUGAAGUCUCAAAAGAUUUGGGGUGGUGCUUGUAAGAAUUCGUGCUUACACUGUUGUUUCAGUUGACAGCAUACAGUCAAGUCGAACCAUGACCUCGGCUGCUCUUGCUUCCUUAUCCAGACGUUGGCUGCGUGUGGCACGGCAUGUCUUUCUUGUUUUUUCCUUAUUCUCCUUUUUGUGUUUCCGGCUUUCCGCUGCUGCCGCCCUCCGUUUUUUGUUCAAACCAAUAAUGGAAUAAAUCUUGUAUGUAAGUACCCCGAUCUUAUGUGUCUAUUUAUACAACUUUCACUAAGACAGCUAGCCUGUUGCAACC